AAGCCAACUUCAAGAUAAGAUUUCCCACCGUAAGGGUAAGAUCCCAGGAAGACUACCUGGUUGAUAGGUCAAAGGUGUAAGUGCAGCAAUGCAUGUAGCUUAUUGAUACUAAUAGAUCGAGGACUUGACCAA
rnacentral:rRNA from 1 species